rnacentral:tRNA from 1 species
AAUGGAGUGCCUGAAAAAGGACUAUUUUGAUAGAAUAGAUCAUGUAACAAAUUACCUCCAUUA